CUCGUAGCUUUCCUAAGAAGAUUGUGGGGAGGAGCAUAUGUUCCCUGUGGUCUUAGAAGUUUUAUCUGUUUGGGACCGUGCAUGGCACUCAGUUGGAACUAUCAAUUGGCUUGUGAACUUAAUAAUAAUAGGUGUGAUACGAGACUUGGAUUUCCUGAAGGUAAUAAUGAGGUUCGUUUAUGCAAUAAUGCUCAAUUACUCCACAUACUCUCUACCCUCUCUCUCUUCUAGCUGGUCAAGUGCAUCGCGCCUGCACGUUGCACGUUACGAACAUAAUGAUUUGUUGAUCUGGUACAAACAGCAAUCAUUGUUUAAAUUCUUUAAAAUAAUUAGAAUAGGAACAUAACGAUUUGUUAAUUUGGUACUGAUAGAGGGAAAAAUGGAUUAUCCAGUCCACAACUAAAAUGCCGCCCAGUUUCGGCCCAGUAGACGUCAACACCAACUAGUCGAAUCCACACUUCGGCUCCGAGUCAACUCGACUUCGGGACUUUGCCGGAAGCUUUACCAACUUUAGAUAUUCGCCGACUCUUUCGACCAAGCUCGAGAUGUCUUCAGACAUUCGCCGACCCAUCCCGACCAAACUCGGAGUGCUCCACCGAGUAUACCUCGGAACCCGAGAAGCCGAGCUACUCUCAGCACCUCUGUCAAGCCGACCUCGCCAAACGCAUGGUGCGACCUCUCAACGAGUUCGGCCUCGUCAACGACCGCACUCAUGUGCGUGCCUACGUCCAUCUGCGUGGUCAUACUUUGCAACACUAUCGUGUCACGUUUCCAUAUCCGGCCUUCAGCAGUCGGUACCUUGACCACUCUGGUUAUAUCCUGCCGUGACUGUCAACACCCUACCGUUCUCAAGAACAGGCGGUACUACACGCCACCAGCCAGCCUAAGCUGUGCGCC
rnacentral:lncRNA from 1 species